AUAGUAAUAUCUUAGUGGCGACCGGGUGCGUAACACGUAGCUGACCUGCCCCUCAGCGGGGGACAACGCCUGGAAACGGGCGCUAAUACCGCAUAAUUUUGGAGGAACUAAACUACUCCACAUAAACUUACGGGGCUGAGGGAGGGGGCUGCGGCCCAUCAGGUAGUUGGUGUGGUAACGGCGCACCAAGCCGACGACGGGUAGGGGGCCUGAGAGGGUGACCCCCCACACUGGGACUGACAACGGCCCAGACUCCUACGGGAGGCAGCAGUAAGGGAUAUUGCGCAAUGGGCGAAAGCCUGACGCAGCAACGCCGCGUGGAGGAAGAAGGCCUUCGGG
rnacentral:rRNA from 1 species